CAGUCGCCGCGGGAAUACGUAGGGUGCAAGCGUUAUCCGGAAUUAUUGGGCGUAAAGAGCUCGUAGGCGGUUUGUCGCGUCUGCUGUGAAAACUGGAGGCUCAACCUCCAGCCUGCAGUGGGUACGGGCAGACUAGAGUGCGGUAGGGGAGAUUGGAAUUCCUGGUGUAGCGGUGGAAUGCGCAGAUAUCAGGAGGAGCACCGAUGGCGAAGGCAGAUCUCUGGGCCGUAACUGACGCUGAGGAGCGAAAGCGUGGGGAGCAAACAGGAUUAGAUACCCCCGUAGUCCCUGUCUCUUAUAC
rnacentral:rRNA from 1 species